GCGGCGUGCUUAACACAUGCAAGUCGAACGAUGAACCACUUCGGUGGGGAUUAGUGGCGAACGGGUGAGUAACACGUGGGCAAUCUGCCCUUCACUCUGGGACAAGCCCUGGAAACGGGGUCUAAUACCGGAUAGCACUCCUGCCUGCAUGGGUGGGGGUUGAAAGCUCCGGCGGUGAAGGAUGAGCCCGCGGCCUAUCAGCUUGUUGGUGAGGUAGUGGCUCACCAAGGCGACGACGGGUAGCCGGCCUGAGAGGGCGACCGGCCACACUGGGACUGAGACACGGCCCAGACUCCUACGGGAGGCAGCAGUGGGGAAUAUUGCACAAUGGGCGAAAGCCUGAUGCAGCGACGCCGCGUGAGGGAUGACGGCCUUCGGGUUGUAAACCUCUUUCAGCAGGGAAGAAGCGCAAGUGACGGUACCUGCAGAAGAAGCGCCGGCUAACUACGUGCCAGCAGCCGCGGUAAUACGUAGGGCGCAAGCGUUGUCCGGAAUUAUUGGGCGUAAAGAGCUCGUAGGCGGCUUGUCACGUCGGGUGUGAAAGCCCGGGGCUUAACCCCGGGUCUGCAUUCGAUACGGGCUAGCUAGAGUGUGGUAGGGGAGAUCGGAAUUCCUGGUGUAGCGGUGAAAUGCGCAGAUAUCAGGAGGAACACCGGUGGCGAAGGCGGAUCUCUGGGCCAUUACUGACGCUGAGGAGCGAAAGCGUGGGGAGCGAACAGGAUUAGAUACCCUGGUAGUCCACGCCGUAAACGGUGGGAACUAGGUGUUGGCGACAUUCCACGUCGUCGGUGCCGCAGCUAACGCAUUAAGUUCCC
rnacentral:rRNA from 1 species